GCCACAGCUGACAUGGCUUUUUUUUUUUUUUUUUGUCAUUGUAGAUUCUUUUCAAGUAUCCUCCUAGGAAGAGCUUUGCCGCAAAUGACAUGUUUGGUUUCGAUCUGUUCAGACCAGGCAAAGCUGGAUUGAGGAAAUCAGUCAACGGCAAGCAGAAGUACUAGAUGCCCAACUGACAGUUGAGCAGCUUCAACAACAAUAUCAGUUGCUCGUGGCCCAAAAUGAGAUGUUGAAGUUGGUUGCAGUAUGCUGAGCGGAUUCCUAUUGGGUUGGAAAAGGUGAUUCGAACAGUUUCUUCUGAAACGGUCAAGCAAUUUUAUAAUAUAUGGUACCAUUUACACAAUAUGGCUGUGGUCGCUGUUGGAGAUUUUACUGAUACACA